rnacentral:misc_RNA from 1 species
UAGGCACACAUAUUAGGGUUCUCUUGGAGAAUCUCCUCAUUCAGGUGUAUGUAACGUUUCUUGAUCAUGGACUUCUCGCACAUCCUUUUGAACUUUUGCUUGAGGUCGGUGAGAUGCUCGCUGUUAGUGAUGCGGAAGUAGUAGUCGGGAUAGUCGGCCUGGUAAAUUACGUUUGAAGGGGUGGCAGUUCCGAUGGCAAGGAUGGUGGCCGGCCCUUGGGCGCGCUGGGCCUUCCGGACCUCCUCGACGGUCUUCGACAUGGUCUGAUUGUGAGGUUGAAGAAGAGAGUGUUGGA